AAUGCAUAGGAAUCUGCCCAUGUAGUGGGGGGACAACCUGGGGAAACUCAGGCUAAUACCGCAUGAGCCCUUCGGGGGAAAGCAGGGGAUCUUCGGACCUUGCGCUAUUGGAUGAGCCUAUGCCUGAUUAGCUUGUUGGUGGGGUAACGGCCUACCAAGGCGACGAUCAGUAGCUGGUCUGAGAGGACGAUCAGCCACACUGGGACUGAGACACGGCCCAG
rnacentral:rRNA from 1 species